rnacentral:tRNA from 1 species
GCCUCGGUGGUCUAAUGGGUUAGGACGCUCUCGUACGGAAUACAAGAGAUCCGGGUUCAAGUCCCGGCCGAGGUA